rnacentral:lncRNA from 1 species
CUGAAAGCUUGAUGACUUAGCCAAACAAGUGUUUUUCCUCCUCAUGCUAUAUUCCAAUGUAGUUGUGUGUGUGGACAGACGUGGUGCGAGGUUCUUCUACUUAUGAAAACUUAGGGACACAGCUAACAUGACUCCCCCAUAUGGAAGAAAGAGCAGAUGUUGAACUUGUACCUCUUUUUCUACAGUUUGGCUUAAAAGUGACCCAUGCCAAUUCUGCUCACAAUCUAUUGGCCAGAGCUAGUCACGUGUCCUGCUAUAUUUAAAGAAGGCUGGGAAAUAGAGUGGCAAGUGAAAAUUUGGUUUGAGAGAGCAUCAUGGAAUUCCUUCCAAGGAUGCAAGAGGAAGAAGAAUCUCUUUCAAUUUCCAGUAGAAUUCAUUGCAGUGAGUUUAUGCCAACAAUUGAUCCCAGCACCUGUGUGCAGGACCUGGUAAAUGACCCCUCAUGUUGCCCUCAAAAAUGGGGGUUUCCCAAAUUGUAUGACCAGGCAUUAUGCUGACUAGGGUCGGAUGAACUGUUCCACUCUGUGGGAAGUCACAGAGAAGAAUGGCCCACUGUCUUCAAGGAGGUGAAUCCAGCUCGUGGUGGGUUUGGUGAGGAGAAAGAUGGGAGUGUAUAGGAAAGAACAUUUGGGCUCUCCUUUUGUUUGGAAAGGAGGGGGAAAUGCCUAUCAUGACCACAGCUGCCUUUCAAAAAGGGGAAGACCUGUAUGAAGGGUCCUUUAAUUCAUAGGAGGUUUAGAGCUAGAUUUGGGGAUAGGGACUAGAGAGGUCUAAAUUCCUUACAUGAUAGAGAAGAAUUUGGAACUUUGAGGUAGAGGAGAGACUACGCAGGAGAGAGUAUGUGGAAGAGACAUGAAAGGAGAAAAACAAGAGAGGAGCUAGUAUGGUGUGAGGUUGGAGUGUUAC